rnacentral:tRNA from 1 species
CAAGCGAUAGUAGGUAGCACGCUUGCCUUGGGAGCAAGUAGUUCAGGUUCAAAUCCUGCCGUUCGG